CCAGGCGCCUGUUUAUCAAAAACAUGGUUUUUUGGUGAUUAUAAAAAAUUUGGUCUGCUCACUGCUAUUAGUAAAUAGCCGCAGUAUUUUGACUGUGCAAAGGUAGCAUAAUCAUUUGCCUUUUAAUUAAAGGCUGGCAUGAAUGAUUUAACGAGAUAAAAUCUGUCUUCAACGGAGUGUUUGAAUUUGAUUAAUUGGUAAAAAGGCCAUUAUGAGUAUGAGGGACGAUAAGACCCUAUUAAGCUUGAUUUUUGAAUUUUACUGGGGCGGUAAAUUAAGAUUAUGAUCUUAAUGAGGAAGGUUAACAAUGUAAGACCCAAUAUUAUUGAGUGACGGAUAAAGUUACUAUAGGGAUAACAGCUUAAUUUUUUUAAAAAGUUCUUAUUUUAAGAAAAGUUUGUGACCUCGAUGUUGAAUUAAGGAUUCUUUUUGGUGAAGGAGCUAAGGAAGAAAGUCUGUUCGACUUUUAAAUCUUUACGUGAUCUGAGUUCAGACCGGCC
rnacentral:rRNA from 1 species